rnacentral:rRNA from 1 species
UCCAGACUCCUACGGGAGGCAGCAGUGGGGGAUAUUGCACAAUGGGGGGAACCCUGAUGCAGCGACGCCGCGUGGGUGAAGGAGCGUUUCGGCGCGUAAAGCCCUAUCGGCAGGGAAGAAGGAGGACGGUACCUGACUAAGAAGCCCCGGCUAACUACGUGCCAGCAGCCGCGGUAAUACGUAGGGGGCAAACGUUAUCCGGAUUUACUGGGUGUAAAGGGGGCGCAGACGGCAGCGCAAGCCAGGAGUGAAAGCCCGGGGCCCAACCCCGGGACUGCUCUUGGAACUGCGCGGCUGGAGUGCAGGAGGGGCAGGCGGAAUUCCUGGUGUAGCGGUGAAAUGCGUAGAUAUCAGGAGGAACACCGGUGGCGAAGGCGGCCUGCUGGACUGCGACUGACGUUGAGGCCCGAAAGCGUGGGGAGCAAACAGGAUUAGAUACCCCAGUACCA